GCCGGGCGUGGUGGCUCACGCCUGUAAUCCCAGCACUUUGGGAGGCUGAGGCGGGUGGAUCACCUGAGGUCAGGAGUUCGAGACCAGCCUGGCCAACAUGGUGAGACCCUGUCUCUA
rnacentral:SRP_RNA from 2 species